rnacentral:pre_miRNA from 1 species
AGCUUUUUGAAUUCACGUAGAGAUUUUGUCAGACACUAACCCAUUAGGGCUGAUCAAACUUCCAAGAUAAGUGAAGUU